rnacentral:rRNA from 1 species
UACGUAGGGUGCAAGCGUUAAUCGGAAUUACUGGGCGUAAAGCGUGCGCAGGCGGUUGUGUAAGACAGAUGUGAAAUCCCCGGGCUUAACCUGGGAAUGGCAUUUGGGACUGCAAGGCUCGAGUGCGGCAGAGGAGACUGGAAUUCCUGGUGUAGCAGUGAAAUGCGUAGAUAUCAGGAGGAACACCGAUGGCGAAGGCAGGUCUCUGGGCUGACACUGACGCUCAUGCACGAAAGCGUGGGGAGCAAACAGG